rnacentral:lncRNA from 1 species
AACAACUAUACUGUUUGAAAUUAUAAUUACUUGGUAACACUAACCAAAUAAAGCAACGUAACACAAAAAUAUUGAAAGGCUUCCUAUUUUUAGUUUAAUAUUAAGCCAGUGCACACGAUUCUUGUUACAGAGGAAAAUUAUAAUUUGUCAAAGGCCUUUGGGGGAGGUAUGUGUGUGUUUCACUGUGAAAUAUAACUACGCAUUUGCUCCUAAUCACCAGGAAUCCUGAAUGGUCUUAAAUAAAGCAGGGGACUCUGUAAAGAUGUAUUCAUUCAUGGUUUCCAUCUCUGAAAUACUACUAGCAGUCUCUUUAAUUGUGGAUUUAACUCAGUUAUUGGUAAGCUAAAUCUCUAAAGUGCAAGCAAAAAAAAAAAAAAAAAAAAAAGAAAAGCAAGAAAAAGCCUUGAUCUCUUGAUCUCUCCUUAUCUGUUCCUUACUUUUUUCUCCUAUAUAUUACAUUAUGAAGUUGCUUGGCUCACUUGCUCUAGAUGAUAUGUGCAGAUAACUACAGUGAUAAUUGAACCGAUGAGAUGUUUUACAUUCAUGCUGACGGUUGCAGAAUAUUUUAGCACACACCUCUGCCCUUAUCUCAUCUACGCUGAUGUAGAAUACAAGCUGCAGGAGGCACAUGGAAGGCUUCGGGAGUUGGUUUUUCAGAGAUAGCAUCGCAGGAGCACAUACUGAUGGGGGUGCUGAUGUUAUGCAAACAAUUGAAGUUGCAUGUUUUUUUUUUUUUUUAAUGUACAGAGAAGGAAGAAAAUAGAAAUACAUUUUCCCAGCAACCAUAUUGUCACUUCUUCACAAAAGCAACAUCCCACGAUCUUAAAAUGUACUGGCUAACAAUUCUAAGCCAAGCUUGGCUCUCUUUAAUGGGGUUACUCUAAUCAAAUGUGUGAAACAUUCUCUACUUUCCAGUAUAGCAUUUUAGUUUAAUGGGUUGCUCUGUUUUUACAACUACCCUGUCACGUACACACCACUGCUUUUCUUUUCAUCUUGACAGGUAGGAAACAAACAUCCAUAAGAGAAAGAUAAACAUUGUGAACUCAGGACU